rnacentral:rRNA from 1 species
GACAAACGCUGGCGGCGCGCUUAACACAUGCAAGUCGAGCGAGAACCAGGGCUUCGGCCCUGGGGAAAGCGGCGAACGGGUGAGUAACACGUGAGUAACCUGUCCUCGGCACCGGGGAUAGCCCGGGGAAACCCGGAUUAAUACCGGAUGGCCUUUCGGGUCUUCGGACUCGUCAGAAAAGGGAGCUUCGGCCUCCGGCCGGGGAGGACUCGCGGCGGAUUAGCUUGUUGGUGAGGUAACGGCUCACCAAGGCGACGACCGUAGCUGGUCUGAGAGGACGAUCAGCCACACUGGGACUGAGACACGGCCCAGACUCCUACGGGAGGCAGCAGUGGGAAUCUUGCGCAAUGGGCGAAAGCCUGACGCAGCGACGCCGCGUGCGGGAAGAAGGCCUCGGUUGU